UUCAUGCAUGGACAGUUACCAAUGAUAAGAAAACAAGAUACAUAAAUUUAUCUUAUUCAAAGCAGCUUGGCAAAUUGCUAAUUGACCAAAGUCUUCUAUAUCAAAAAUUAUAAAAACAAUAGAAACAAUAGAAACAAUAAUUAAGUUUCUCUACCAGCCAAUACUUAAUUGGCAAUAAGCUUUUGGACAUACAUGUUAGUAAUUCUUGUGGGGUGUGCAUAGGCGUGUGUAUGUUCUGCAUGUGGAUUGUGUCAAUUUAGAGCAGGCAAAUGAACUUCAGACUUACUUGGAUAUUGAGAUUUCACUAACCAAAUGAAAUAUUGUGUUUAAAGACUAGCAUUUCAACCAAGCAUGAAUAAUUAAGAAUUCACCUAUCACCUCCUGAACUUUGUAUGUUAAUAACCAAAAAAAAAAAAAAAUUCAUGUAGAUCCAUUGCGAAAAUAUAUAGUGGGGUCCACAUGAAAAUCUAUGCAUUUACACUAUAUGUUAAUGUGGACCUGAUCUAGGCAGGAAUUGGCCAAGCAAAAUGUAACGCCCCGGAAAUCCGGACCGCUACCGGCGCUAGGAUCCAGAUCGGCGUAAGGCCGCCGGGACCCGUAGCAAGCCUAACAUAUAACCUGUAAACCUGCUUAAUCCCGUACAUGAUCAACAAUACUCAUAAACCUGUAAAUAUUCUCAUAUAACAACCAAGCUCAACCUGUACAUAAGCAUAAACAUAACAUGAACCUCCACUGGAGCCCUCAUCAAAUGCUCCAAUGUGGUAUCUCAUCAUACAUAAGCUUGGUUGAAACAUAACCUCAUAUCUCAUAUCAUAAAGACCAUGUACAUACAAGUGGGAUUAACAAUCUGUAUUGGUCAAGCACAACUCUAUCCUCAAUAUUCAAAUUACAUAACAUAACUUAAAACACUUUUACAUUGCAUCAUAAUACAAUUGUCAUGUCCACAAUCUAGCUAUUACAUAAACAUAACUUCCAUACUCUGGCUAACCUCCUGAUCUACGGUGAGAGUGAGUGGGGGAGGCGACCUAAUUUCCUAAGGGAAAUUUGGGCCAAAUCCACUUAGGGAAGGAUGCGUUUGACGAGAACCCAAGGGGACAAAUCCUGCCUGGAACCCGUGAGGGUGAAGGGAUGUUAAGAGCUGCUCACGACGCCAGUGGAAAGUCCGAGGUGGCAAGAGGCCAGGCGAGGGAUAGCCCUGGGCCGUGAGUGGUAACAGUGCCGGCAAAGAGAGAGGGCCGGGCUGUUACACAAAAGACUCUACAAUUUGUUAAUUAUCAAACGGACAAAUUUCUUAUAUAACAUCCAGAUCAGAAUCUUGUUGGGCAGGGAAGACCAUGUUAGUACAUAAUUUUGAUAUAAUUCAUUAAUUACUGAUUAACUAUCAUCCAGGAAGUGGUGAAAGCCCCCUAAUCCUUAGUAUUUUAUGCAGUUUUAUGAAGCAAACCUUCUGUUCGGGCAUUUGGCUUCAUUGUCUUGGUAAACAGUGAUUUUUCAAAAGCUAACUUUGCAUUAUUAGUAGGCCAAUCAUCUGAGUAGUAUUUGACAGCCACACGUUUCCCUUCAGAGUCUAGCAGAAGAAUGCUCUUUACCAUGGGGCAAGCAUC
rnacentral:lncRNA from 1 species